AAUUUAGCGAGGGUACCUCCACUUGAAUGACUGGUAAUUUACGAGUGAAGAAGAAAAAUGCGAGCAGACCUGGAGCACACGAAUUGAAAAACAAGUGAUGUCUUUUUAAAAGUCUAAAUUUAAAGAUAAUGCAAUAAUCACUUUACAUGUACAUUCAUUGUGUAUGUAAAAGAUAGAUUUUAUAUCAAUGUGAAUAAAUUGCCAGGAUAGGAGGAAAACAAAGCCUUCCCGCUGAAGGGGACUCACCAACACUUCCUGAAAUGAGUAAUUUUCCCAGGAACAAUAAGAAGUCCGUCGCCUUGUCAAGUACGGCCACCCUAAAAGCACAAAAACAACUUCUGAUGCAUCUGACAACAAGCUAAAUCUCAACACUGAACCCUUGAGGUCACUUCCUACUUCCAGCUCUCCUAAGUGCAAUGGCGAUCUGGAGCCGUUUCCUCAGGAAAAUCAGCAUAAUCACAAUGAUGGCCUCCAUCACGGACAGCGAGAUCACUUUAAGCACAAGCGGAAGCAUUUUGAACUGAGUUCAUUCUUUGCGUACAAGUUGGAAAACAGAGUUGAAUUGUUGCUUACUGAAGAUGAGCCACGUUUGGCUGAGUUUCAGGUAAAUGCUGAAGUCUGUCUGGAAGCCAAUGUCUGAGAUGGUGACGUUGGCGCCUGGCUUCCCGCUUAGCACACUGUACUCCCAGUAGCAGUGGCCGAUACCUGAGAGACACAUAAACAACACAACAGCUCACUAUGCUGAUAUAGGAAUCUUACUUUUAUAUCUCACAAAAAUGAGUACUGCCUGCACAUUUCACUAGUUGUAUUACGUCGCCUCAUGGGAUUAUACUAUGGAAGUAAAAUUUGCCAUCUUGGAGGUGUGUUGGGCAUAUUAUGUUGGAAAAUUUACAUGUGGCUCUGUUUCCCAAGGGCAGGGAUCAUGAAUAUCACAUAAUACAUGUUAGAAUUCACUUUUCUUAAAAUUAAUGUUAAAAUCUUGUGUGACGUCUCGUCUACUAUAUCCAUGUUCAUUUCUAUAGUACCGUCCUUGAGUAGCUACAAUGCCAGAAACAUGCUUCCUGAAAUGUGAGGCGUGUCCUCGCUUUUGUGUGCUCCUGUAUCAUGCGGAAUGUUUUGCUCACCGUAGCCGACCGCUGCAAUGACGCCAAAGAUGAUGAGCCACAACAGCACGCCAGCGGUGAAGCGCAGCAGCAGGAUGAAGAGUAGGCUGACCACCAUGGUUAUGACCAAAGCUCUGCAACAGUCACAACAAUAGCAUAUAGCAAACAUAUUUGCAAAAAUAUUGCCAACACCUAUCAGUAUGACGAAAAUGCAGUUUCACACCACUUGAUCUUAGAUACAGCCUCUAUAAUACAAUUAGAAUCACAUUACAAAAUGUUCAACAAUAGCAAGUUCCAUGGAAACUCACAUGAGGAUCCAAUCCCAAGAAUUUGCAUAAUCCUCAAAGAUCCUCAAGCUAAAUUCUUUGGCGUUUAGCAGACUGGAGAUACCGCUGUCAAGGGAGAGGAGGAAAGAAAGGGAAUUAGGAGGAGAUGAACAACAUACUGUAGUUUUGAAAGUGAAAUAAUCAUUUUAAAGCAGUUCUCAGCACUGGUAGGUUAUGCCAGCCAGUUCUAUGUCAAAGAAGCAGCACUAUGGUUACCAAAGCAUUACUUGAAUGUACUGCGUUUUCUUUGGACAAUUGCUUCAAGAAUUUGGGGAAGCUCCCUCUUUUGUUCCGAGUGGCACAAAGCAACUCCCAUGCUUGGGUGAAUUUGAUGCGGAAUAACUAGAACAAGGAUCGACCUCUGACCUCACAAGUGUUCUGUCUUCUGGAUAAAUUUCCUUUAAGUCGGAGGUGUCCAAAGUGCGGCAGGGGAGACAUUUUGCAAUUUAGCUGUUAUGUAUCUGGAAAAAGAUUAGAUACUAACAUCAUCAUAAUACUAUAUACUAUAACAUACUAAUAACACUAUUGCAAUAAAAAUACUAUGAUACUAAUAAUUUACAUUGGAUAGAGUGUUAGCAAACUCCAGCCUGGCUUUUUUUAUAUGUCUGUGUCACCUUUUAGUGCAAGCUGACACCGUUGUACCCUCUCUCUGCAGGUGAGCUUGAAUUCAUUUGGAAUGGAUCAAACUUGUUUAUUCACGUCCACGUCCAGGGAGGUUGGGCUAUAGUGCCAUGGGCUGUGAGCGUCUUGAUGAUGUUGCACACCAUAAACACAAGAACAUUUAGAUCUUGUGAUGUUUCAGUCACCUUUGCCCCAUUUUAACUGGCUGUGGUGUGGUUUCGAAAAUAAUUACACAUUUUUUUGUGCAAUUACCCGAUUUGGCUUUUUUCCUCUGCUUUUUUGU